UGAGGAAUAUUGGACAAUGGGCGCAAGCCUGACCCAGCAACGCCGCGUGAAGGAUGAAGUAUUUCGGUAUGUAAACUUCGAAAGAAUAGGAAGAAUAAAUGACGGUACUAUUUAUAAGGUCCGGCUAACUACGUGCCAGCAGCCGCGGUAAUACGUAGGGACCAAGCGUUGUUCGGAUUUACUGGGCGUAAAGGGCGCGUAGGCGGCUUUGUAAGUCACUUGUGAAAUCUCCGGGCUUAACUCGGAACGGCCAAGUGAUACUGCAAAGCUAGAGUGCAGAAGGGGCAAUCGGAAUUCUUGGUGUAGCGGUGAAAUGCGUAGAUAUCAAGAGGAACACCUGAGGUGAAGACGGGUUGCUGGGCUGACACUGACGCUGAGGCGCGAAAGCCAGGGGGAGCAAACGGGGAUUAGAUACCCACGUAGUCCCUGAGCGGGCUGGCAAGGCGCAU
rnacentral:rRNA from 1 species